rnacentral:rRNA from 1 species
AUUGAACGCUGGCGGCAGGCUUAACACAUGCAAGUCGAGCGGAGAGAGGUAGCUUGCUACUGAUCUUAGCGGCGGACGGGUGAGUAAUGCUUAGGAACCUGCCUAUUAGUGGGGGACAACAUUUCGAAAGGAAUGCUAAUACCGCAUACGUCCUACGGGAGAAAGCAGGGGAUCUUCGGACCUUGCGCUAAUAGGUGAGCCUAAGUCGGAUUAGCUAGUUGGUGGGGUAAAGGCCUACCAAGGCGACGAUCUGUAGCGGGUCUGAGAGGAUGAUCCGCCACACUGGGACUGAGACACGGCCCAGACUCCUACGGGAGGCAGCAGUGGGGAAUAUUGGACAAUGGGCGGAAGCCUGAUCCAGCCAUGCCGCGUGUGUGAAGAAGGCCUUUUGGUUGUAAAGCACUUUAAGCGAGGAGGAGGCUACCUGGAUUAAUACUCUAGGAUAGUGGACGUUACUCGCAGAAUAAGCACCGGCUAACUCUGUGCCAGCCGCCGCAGUAACAC